rnacentral:sRNA from 1 species
GCUCAGAGCGCCCAGUCCGACGCCAGGCUCUGAACCCCUUCCACAAGGCUCUGCGCUCGGUCCCCUCUGCUCCACCUCCUCCCCGCGGGGCGUGCAGCUCAGACGCUCUUUGGAUCUAGCAGGCUCGGUGGCUGGGAGGUGCCAUUCACAUCAAAUGUAGCCAUUUUAGAGGUGUCAAAAUAAAUCAGCCAUAUUUAAUAAAUUCCAGCUCUACUCUUCUACCCUGUAGCCCAAGAAGCAGCAACGAUGGGGUCAAAGGAUCAUGCAGUAUUUUUCAGGGAAAUGACACAGUUAAUUUUGAAUGAAAUGCCAAAAGCUGGGUAUUCCAGCAUAUUAAAUGAUUUUGUGGAAUCUAAUUUUUUUGUGAUUGAUGGAGAUUCCUUGCUUGUCACGUGCCUGGGUGUAAAAUCAUUCAAGUGGGGACAGAAUCUCCACUUUUUCUAUCUGGUUGAAUGCUAUCUUGUGGAUCUUAUGAGUAAUGGAGGACAAUUCGCCAUAGUUUUCUUCAAGAUGGAGUUUCGCUCUUUUUGCACAGGCUGGAGUGCAAUGCCGUGAUCUCGGCUCACUGCAACCUCCACCUCCUGGGUUCAAGUGAUUCUACUCUCUCAGCCUCCCAAGUAGCUGGGAUUACAGGUGCAUGCCAC